AUGAAAAAAUGUGACCAUCCUGCGGGCAAGAGAAGAUGCUUCUGGUUUAGGGGAGCUUGCAAACCAACAAGAUGUGGUGCGAGUCCUGGGAAACAGGACUGCUCCACAGGCAGGAAAAGAUUCUGCCUGUUUAGGACUGCUCCCAAGCCAGCUCAGCACUCAGCACCUGCUCUACCACUGCUCUCUGGGAAAAAGCCUUCAAAGUCUGAUCCCUCAAUGGGCAGGGAAGGACUCCCACAGCUCUGCCUUGCAUGCUCACCAACUCAUCUCCUACCUCCAGCUGUUCCAUUGCUUCACUGGCCGGGAGAAUGGGAAACCCCCUGCAAACAUGGAAGGGUUCUCCUGGCUUGGCCUCAGUUUCCAACUUGUGCACAUUUGCCGUGUAGAAACCAGAGGCACCAUUACAAGCAGGGGAUUGUAGCUCAGCCUUUGCCCCCAGCUGCACCAGAAUUAAUGGUACAUGGUCAAGACCCAGUAAAGAGGGCACCUGUGCAGGCAGGUAAGGACUAUCAUAGCUCCAAACCUCUGCUGUCCUCCAUCCCUAGGCAUACAUCCACAGCCUGGAGUCCUCUCCAGGCAGGAUACACUACUACUGGUUUUGAAAAGAUGAGGGGAGAAAUACAUUCCCAUCUUGGGAAACCAUUAAGUUGUUGUGUACUGGGAGAAGAUUGCUACUGGAGAAGAACCUUGUAGUCUGCCACUGCUGGGUGGCAGUGGUGGAUGGGAGGUAUCUGGGAAGUACAGUGAAGAGCCUGGACUACUUCCACACGGAGCCUUUGAUUUUCCAGUAGGUGAGAAGAAUCAGUGCGUCAGCAAAUGCCUGGAUCAUGGUGACCUUGUAAAGCUUGCAUGAAUUACUCAUGUCAGGAUGCUGCUUAACACGGUAGCAGGCUUCAUAUUUACACAGGUCUAGAUGAUGAAACAAGAUCACGGUGGCUCAAGGGCUAGCCCACUAUGGCUUUAUGUGCAGAACUAAGCCAAGUCCAGAGCUAAGUGCAGAACUAAGCCAAGCUUAUUGUGCUGCUUUAUCUGUAUGAAUCACUGCAGCAUGAAUGCAGGAAGUAUCAAAGAGGAGAAGAAAGCUGGUUAUAUCUGAAUCAUGAUGGUCAUGCUCACAUUGAAUUAUGGAGUCCUCAGGCUUGGAGGAAGGACAGUAUAACCUUAUGUCUGUUCUCCCAGGGAGCUGAUAAUUGUGCUACCAGUGACUUCAGUGGAAGUGGCACUAGCACAUUCAUGUUUGAGUGUGCAAGUUUCUCAUAGGACAGUUUGUUGCAUCAUCUGCUCAGGUCUACAGCCUCUAGUUGUAGAGGUGGCCUCUGCCCCUGCGGUCAGAUCAGUGCUGACUGCAGAGCUGAGGGCAUCAUCCAGCCUUCCAGCCAAGGGUCAUCCAGAUCUGGUUAAAACACAGUGAUUAAAAAAAGCAAAGAGCCACGAGCUGUUCAUUCUGUUUGGGUAUGUUAGUGCCCCAUCCUGGGAAAUCAGAUGGAAAGAUGCUUUUUUUUAAUCUAAACAGUGAAAUUUUGGAAUUCAGAAUGACAUUUAGGAGCUCCACAGUUUUCCAAAGUGGAGAAGUUUGAAGUUGCCAGGAAGGGGCAGGCUCCCUCACUUACAUGCAUUUUCACACUUUUCAAGUCGUUUCAGCGAAACUGCCAUUUCUGUCAGCAGUUCUCAGACACAACAUUUCUGACAGGCCCAUCCUCUGCUCUGCAGUUUCGAGGGAUGGUUGCUCUCAUCUCCCUCCAAUCAUCUCACUCUGAAGCGAGGACCUAAAUCUUCUGACAUCCAGGGUUGACCACAGAGCUCUGAUUGCCACCAGCUUUAGCCUGGAGAGCGGAUUCAGGGCCUUGGGUUUUCUUAACUGGAACAUCCACUUUUUCUCUGUUCAUAAUUAAUUUUAUAUUGUGGGUUUUGUACCUGUGACUAAAAGUGUACUACAGAAGUGUACGAUUUUGUUAAUAAAGUCUUUACAAUACCCUGUCUAGUCAGGAUGUCGUCUUUCUGUAGCCAGGCUUCUGCUCUCCGUGUGGUGUGGGGCAGUGUGUUACAGUAAUAGGGUGUAAUUAGGUGCUUGUGUAAGGCUGCUCAGUAAACACACGGUAAUUGGUACCCGCACAGAUAGUUUUGGAGUUCUUUUGCUCCUGUCUUUAAUGAAUGCUAAGCUGGCACCUCCUUUACUCUGACUUCAGAGUAUAAAUCAUGAGCAGUUAGUGUUCAUAAGCAAACACUGCAGCGCUAGUGGGGUGGUUCAGUGUCUG
ensembl:lncRNA